rnacentral:rRNA from 1 species
GAUGAACGCUGGCGGCGUGCCUAAUACAUGCCAGUCGAGCGAACGGACGAGAAGCUUGCUUCUCUGAUGUUAGCGGCGGACGGGUGAGUAACACGUGGAUAACCUACCUAUAAGACUGGGAUAACUUCGGGAAACCGUAGCUAAUACCGGAUAAUAUUUUGAACCGCAUGGUUCAAAAGUGAAAGACGGUCUUGCUGUCACUUAUAGAUGGAUCCGCGCUGCAUUAGCUAGUUGGUAAGGUAACGGCUUACCAAGGCAACGAUGCAUAGCCGACCUGAGAGGGUGAUCGGCCACACUGGAACUGAGACACGGUCCAGACUCCUACGGGAGGCAGCAGUAGGGAAUCUUCCGCAAUGGGCGAAGGCCUGACGGAGCAACGCCGCGUGAGUGAUGAAGGUCUUCGGAUCGUAAAACUCUGUUAUUAGGGAAGAACAUAUGUGUAAGUAACUGUGCACAUCUUGACGGUACCUAAUCAGAAAGCCACGGCUAACUACGUG